CGGCGAGUUUAGUUAUUAUUUGUUGUAAUUCAUCUGAACGCCGUACUUUUUCUUGUGUCUGUGGUGCGCGACGAACGUCGGGCUCAAAACCCUCUCUGUCUGAGCCUGAUUCUGGCAGGGGGCAAUGGGUUGCCUGUGGAUGGGUGGCGGACUGCACCGUUGCCGGCUGCAGCAGUGUAGGAACGUUGGACCGGACUGGGUCCGAAUUCCUGGAAGUGGUAGUGGAAGUUGCCAUGUUUGUUUUGGUCACAUGUGCCUGCAUCAUCAGCUUGCUUUCCAGUGAAGGGGAAGCCAGCGCCGCCCCAUUCUCGUCACCACCCUGAACUCUGCCUCUCUGUUGCAUCACUUGUGCCAGCCCCGUUCCACAUUCGGCCCCGCCUGCCUCCUCAUCUUUCACGAUGCCCCCUGAGCCUCAGACUGGGCCACUUCCUGUUUGUCCUCAUUUUCUCCAAGUGCCGGCUGGAGCACUUCCGGCCCUCGGUUCGCAUGGCUCGUGAUCGUAUUCACUACAUCGUGCAGGGAGGGGCACACAGGGGCCGCGUUUCCUUUCACGGGAUGUGUGGAACUAAUACCAAAAAACCUCGCAACUCUAGAUGGUUUUUGCAGCUCUUUUAGCUUGGCAGCAGGCAUCUCCCGGUUGGAUGGCGGCGGCGCCGCCCCUUCCAAAGCCUGAAUUGUAGCCUGAACUGUAGCUCUGUUCGGCCGCCAAUAUUUGCAAGACAGUGUCAGCUUUUCAGAAGAGAGCUGCACUUCAAAUGUAAGUCAACAGAAGAAUGAAAUUAAAUAUCAAGAGACCUGGAGCUGGCAGAAAGCCAAGAGCCACUUCAAUGGUGCUAGCUAAGAGCCACAUCGCUUGGAUUUGUACAAGGCCAGCAUGGAUAAUCUGUCCUGCACAUCCCUGCGGAGGGAGUGAGCAGAAAAUCAGAAUAUUUCCCUAUUCUGAAGGCAGAAAGUAAUAUCUUUGUCUGUAACUUGAAUUAGCAUCACCAAA